AACCGCCGUGUACGGAACCGUACGCACGGUGGUGUGAGAGGACGGUAGAUGAACUAAUCAUCUACCUCCUACUCGAU
rnacentral:ncRNA from 2 species